rnacentral:ncRNA from 2 species
GAUGUGGUAUCGGGAGAGACUGUAACGGCAUGGCCGCAAACAGCGCCGAAGGAGCAACCGCCCCGGAAACUCUCAGGCAAAAGGACCGAUACUGCUGU